GACGAACGCUGGCGGCGUGCUUAACACAUGCAAGUCGAACGGAAAGGCCUUUUCGGAGGUACUCGAGUGGCGAACGGGUGAGUAACACGUGGGUGAUCUGCCCUGCACUCUGGGAUAAGCCUGGGAAACUGGGUCUAAUACCGGAUAGGACCGCACUUUAGUGUGUGUGGUGGAAAGUUUUUUCGGUGUAGGAUGAGCCCGCGGCCUAUCAGCUUGUUGGUGGGGUAAUGGCCUACCAAGGCGGCGACGGGUAGCCGGACUGAGAGGUUGGUCGGCCACAUUGGGACUGAGAGACGGCCCAGACUCCUACGGGGGGCAGAAGUGGGGAAUAUUGCACAAUGGGCGCAAGCCUGAUGCAGCGACGCCGCGUGGGGGAUGACGGCCUCCGGGUUGUAAACUCCUUUCGCCAGGGACGAAGCGUUUUGUGACGGUACCUGGAGAAGAAGCACCGGCUAACUACGUG
rnacentral:rRNA from 1 species